UGGUAUUGAUUGGUGCUUGCAUCAUGAUUUACAUUUGAGUGAGUGGCGAACUGGUGAGUAACACGUGGGAAACCUGCCCAGAAGCGGGGGAUAACACCUGGAAACAGAUGCUAAUACCGCAUAACAACUUGGACCGCAUGGUCCGAGCUUGAAAGAUGGCUUCGGCUAUCACUUUUGGAUGGUCCCGCGGCGUAUUAGCUAGAUGGUGGGGUAACGGCUCACCAUGGCAAUGAUACGUAGCCGACCUGAGAGGGUAAUCGGCCACAUUGGGACUGAGACACGGCCCAAACUCCUACGGGAGGCAGCAGUAGGGAAUCUUCCACAAUGGACGAAAGUCUGAUGGAGCAACGCCGCGUGAGUGAAGAAGGGUUUCGGCUCGUAAAACUCUGUUGUUAAAGAAGAACAUAUCUGAGAGUAACUGUUCAGGUAUUGACGGUAUUUAACCAGAAAGCCACGGCUAACUACGUGCCAGCAGCCGCGGUAAUACGUAGGUGGCAAGCGUUGUCCGGAUUUAUUGGGCGUAAAGCGAGCGCAGGCGGUUUUUUAAGUCUGAUGUGAAAGCCUUCGGCUCAACCGAAGAAGUGCAUCGGAAACUGGGAAACUUGAGUGCAGAAGAGGACAGUGGAACUCCAUGUGUAGCGGUGAAAUGCGUAGAUAUAUGGAAGAACACCAGUGGCGAAGGCGGCUGUCUGGUCUGUAACUGACGCUGAGGCUCGAAAGUAUGGGUAGCAAACAGGAUUAGAUACCCUGGUAGUCCAUACCGUAAACGAUGAAUGCUAAGUGUUGGAGGGUUUCCGCCCUUCAGUGCUGCAGCUAACGCAUUAAGCAUUCCGCCUGGGGAGUACGGCCGCAAGGCUGAAACUCAAAGGAAUUGACGGGGGCCCGCACAAGCGGUGGAGCAUGUGGUUUAAUUCGAAGCUACGCGAAGAACCUUACCAGGUCUUGACAUACUAUGCAAAUCUAAGAGAUUAGACGUUCCCUUCGGGGACAUGGAUACAGGUGGUGCAUGGUUGUCGUCAGCUCGUGUCGUGAGAUGUUGGGUUAAGUCCCGCAACGAGCGCAACCCUUAUUAUCAGUUGCCAGCAUUAAGUUGGGCACUCUGGUGAGACUGCCGGUGACAAACCGGAGGAAGGUGGGGAUGACGUCAAAUCAUCAUGCCCCUUAUGACCUGGGCUACACACGUGCUACAAUGGAUGGUACAACGAGUUGCGAACUCGCGAGAGUAAGCUAAUCUCUUAAAGCCAUUCUCAGUUCGGAUUGUAGGCUGCAACUCGCCUACAUGAAGUCGGAAUCGCUAGUAAUCGCGGAUCAGCAUGCCGCGGUGAAUACGUUCCCGGGCCUUGUACACACCGCCCGUCACACCAUGAGAGUUUGUAACACCCAAAGUCGGUGG
rnacentral:rRNA from 1 species